AACCAUAGAAACCUGCGGAGUACCUGCGGAAGGAUCAUUACAGAGUUGCAAAACUCCCACAAACCAUCGCGAAUCUUACCCGUACGGUUGCCUCGGCGCUGGCGGUCCGGAAGGCCCUCGGGCCCCCGGACCCUCGGGCCCCCCGCUCGCGGGGGGCUGCCCGCCGGAGUGCCGAAACCAAACUCUUGAUAUUUUAUGUCUCUCUGAGUAAACUUUUAAAUAAGUCAAAACUUUCAGCAA
rnacentral:misc_RNA from 1 species